rnacentral:rRNA from 1 species
UACGUAGGGGACGAGCGUUGUCCGGAUUCAUUGGGCGUAAAGCGCGCGUAGGCGGCUCGGAAAGUCGGUCGUGAAAUGCCGGGGCUCAACCCCGGGACUGCGUCCGAUACUCCCGAGCUGGAGGCAGGUAGGGGAGAUCGGAAUUCCUGGUGUAGCGGUGAAAUGCGCAGAUAUCAGGAGGAACACCGGUGGCGAAGGCGGAUCUCUGGACAGUUCCUGACACUGAGACACGAAGGCCAGGGGAGCAAACGGG